AUGUUUACAAGACUCUUGAUCCUCCAAUCAGAAGGAGCGGUUAGUGUAAACAUUAAUGAAUUACUUUAUGCAUUUCAGGGGACCUGUGUGAAGGUGCGUGGAGUGCAGUGCUGUAGUGCAUUCAUUACUGGAGUGGGUUUCUUUCCUUCUGCUGCACGUGCGAGGGGAGGGGUAAACACACACACACACACACUCUCUCUCUCUCUCUCUCUCUCUUUCCGCCAUGCUGGUACGGGUCUCUGCUCUCCCGGCUGCUCUCUGACCCCAGUGCCUGAGUGCCUCUCCCCUUUGGCCGGGGAAAAACUCGGACGUUUGCCCGCUUGGAGGAUCCAGGAGGCGGCGGCGGAAAGGCUGGAGGUCGCUGCCCGGGGGGUCGAGGGUCCUGCCCCGCUGCUCUUUGGCCGGUGUCCUGCCCGGCACACAAAGGCCUAUUGGGGUACAUAUACCCACAGACCCCCUCACGCUCUCAGGUGGAGGCGGUGUGCGGCUGUGCAGGAGCUGUGCUGCUGAGGGGUGAGUAACUGCAGGGGUAGUUUGGGCAGCAGCAGAUUGCCGGGUUGAUCAGAGAGCUUAUCGAGCUGAGUGGUAGGUAAGAGAGAGUUGUGAGUAUGUUGAGUAGAUUGGGGUGGUUGGAGUUUGUUUUGGGUAGAUUCCCAGUCAAAUAGCAAAAGUAUGUUGUAUCAACUCAUUUUUCCAUCUUUAAUACAUUGAAUCAAUGCUGAUCUCCAAUGUCAGAAUUUAUUUAUUCAUACACAUCGAUUUUAGACCUAUUAUUAUUAUUAUUAUUAAUAUUAUUAUUAAUAUUAUUAUUUGUGGGAGCAGUUUAAGCACCUAUAAGUAUUAACUAUGAGUGUAUAAGAGACUUAACUAUUCAUGUCCUUUAAAUGAACUUUAAUUCAGUGUCAUCAGCACUAACCAAUGCCUGUAAGGUAAUGUUAAAUGUUAAAGGUUGUUUAAAGGUUAAGGGUUUUUUUCCAUUAGCAGCAUUAAAAGAGGCAAUGCAUCCAAAAAAAGCAGCGUUUAUUGAGUGUUCUUUGAUUUCAGGGAUUUCCGUUAGUUUAAGUUUAGUACAGGCUGCUGGUUGGAGUAGAUUUUUGUUGGGUUGGUUAAGGUGUGUGAGUGGGUCAGGAGGACGGUUGGAAUAAGCUAGUGUAUAUAGCAGUCUGUAUGCAUCAGGUUUGUUUGGGUCGAGAUGUAGUCAGGAUAGGCUGUACAGCUGGUUGAGAUGUGUGUCAUUAGUUUAACAGGUGUGAUCUGCGUGUGUUUGGGUGGUUCUGCAGAGGCACAGAUGAACUGUGUGCAGGACAGGCUGGGGUUAUACGGGUUUAUUGCAGUGUGUUAGGGUGGUUGAGGUGUGCAUGAAAAAGUAUUAAAAUAAUUAUGUUAAAAAUAAAACAAAACUGUAAAUUUUGCA
rnacentral:lncRNA from 1 species